rnacentral:rRNA from 1 species
GAUUAGAUACCCUAGUAUUUAUAAUUUGUGGAAUUAGUAUAUUUACAGAAACUUAAAGAUUUUGGCAGUUAAUUAUUAAUUUAGAGGAGCUUGUUGAAUAAAGAAUUUACACUUUAAAUUUAUACAAUAAAAUGUUUAUUCAUCUCCGUUAUUAGAGUCAUUCGGGGAUAGAAACUUCUAAUAUUUCAGGUCAAGAUGUAGCAAUUUAUUAGAUAAGAUUAGCUACAAUUAUGAAAUAGCUGGAAUUUACCAAGAAGAGGGUAGAAGAAAUUGAAUUUAGUUGUAAUUAUAAUUAUUGUUUUAUAAUGACUUUUUUAAUUGAUGUACAUAUUGCCCGUCACUUCUGUUUAUAAGAUGGAAUAAGUCGUAACAAAGUA